rnacentral:lncRNA from 1 species
GGACGAAGAUAUAAGAAAAUAGGUGAACAUUUAUAUCUAAUGUUAGAAAAAGAAGAAUUAAAAUUAGAAGAUAAAUUAACAGCAAUGGUAAGAAUAGAAAAAGAAAAUGAAGAGAUAGAUAGGAAAAAAGAAAUAGAAAAAAUAAAACAACAAACUACGAAAGAAAUACGAAAAAUAGAAGAAACCAAAAAUAGUAGAAUUGCUGAAUUAGAAAAAGAAUUACAAAUGUUAAAAGAACUGUAUGAACAAAGACAAAAAGAAAAAGAAGAAAAAGAUAGAGAACAGAAAUUACUAAAUGAGAUAAAUCAAUUUAAGGAAAAAUUAGAAAUAAAAAAUGAAGAAUUAGAAAUAAAUAAUAUAGAUAUUGAAGAGACAGAUAAUUAUGAGU